rnacentral:lncRNA from 1 species
ACCCCGGCUCCUUGGGAUAGAUGGGGAAGCUGAGGCCCAGAAGGGGGCUGAGACCACCUCCCAGUUUCCCCAGUGAGGUGGCGCCUGAGCCACGGCCAGGCCCGGCCUCCUUCCACCCGGCCCUGCUGUGCGCGCGGCGGGUGCUGACCUGGCGAGGCCGGACAGGGGACCAGGUCGGGGUGACCGUCACUGACACCUGGACAGUCCUCGUUGUGUUCGGGGUGGGAAGCCCACGGUGAGUCUGGGGACCCAAGAUCUUAUUUUCCUUUCUGUCACCCCCGCUUGGUUUUGGAUUCCGUGACAGCUGGACCCGGCUUCUGCGUGGACAUAAUUGGAGACACUGGUUAUUUUACCAAAGCUUUGACCGGAAGGAUGUACUUUUGGAUACAAACAGACUGCUUUAAGGAGUCAAAGCUGACUUAUGAAGUUGGCCUCAUCCCUUGUCUACACAGUCACUGUACAGAGUUCCUUGCCUGUAGUAUGUAAAGAAUGUCACUUUCUGACAGGCUCAGGAGCCCCAAAUUAUCCUGGGACCUUGAGGAGAGGACAUUGCCCAAUUUAUAUAGGUAUUUUCAGGCACCAAUAAAUCAUGGCUGGGCUCAAGGCUUUAAAAAAAGUCAAAUCUGGGAUUCGUUAUAGAAUAAAGUUCCAGCAAAGCCAAUUUUAAGACAGGCCUAUAUGGCAAAUAAUUAUUCGUGCUGACAUUAUGCAAACACUCAGGCCAAGUAUAAGAUGAAAAAUUAUUUUAAAUAAAUUUGUCCUACUAUGAUUUGUCUUCAGUAAAAACAGGUACUGGGCUGGGCAUGGUGGCUCACAGCUGUAAUCCCAGCACACUGGGAGGCCAAGGCAGGCAGAUCGCUUGAGGUCAGGAGUUUGAGACCAGCCUGGCCAACAUGGUGGUGAAACACCAUCUCUACCAAAAAAUAUAAAAAUUAGCCAGGUGUGGUGGCAUGUGUCUGUAAUCCUAGCUACCCAGGAGGCUGAGGCAUGAGAAUUGCUUGAACCCAGGAGGUGGAGCUUGCCUGAGUCCUGGUAAGGCACAGACAGAAAGGGUUGUCAGCCAUUUUUUUCUGAGGUUAUAAGAUCUGCAACUUCCCCAGUUAUUCCUGCAGAUAACACCACUAUUGUAGAUUGGCUUUUUGAGAAAUCUUUUCCAGUGUUUGUGCAUGACCGUGGCUCCACCUGGACCCACCUGGACCUGCCAAUCCCACUCGUGUGACCCCACCCAGAAGUGACUCAGUCCUUAGGACUCAGCGUUGACCCCCUGUGAUUUCAUCUCUGCUCUAAGCAAUCAGCAGCAAGCACCUAUUACCUGGCCUCCCCAACUCCUUCCCCUAAAACUGUCUUUGAACAACCCCUAACCUGUGAGUUUUGCAUGAGGUUGUUUGAGUGCUAACUCCAUCUCUGUAGCGUGGCCAGCCUUUUGUCUAUUAAACUCUUUCCUUAUUGCAAUGCCAUGGUCUUUCUUUAUGCAGCAGGCAGGAAGAGCCCCUUCAGUGUUUACAAAGUCUUACCUGCACAGAGAGGUCCCAGAGAGGCUGGCUGGGCACUGGGGAUCUGGGGCUACCGUUGUUGAUGGUCAAUGAGACAUGGAGUGGGAGCCUCCCACCCUGACAUACCUAAAGAAGACACCACCUCCUAUUUGGCAAAAGGUCCUUUCUUCCCACCAGCCUCACACUCCUGGUCCUGACGGCCACCUCCUACCGUGCUAGGGUCCCACACCCUGGGCUUCCUCCACACCAGUCAGUGGUUGGUGUUGGUGGGGAAUCUUAGAGUCACCCUCUCAGACUCCCACUGAGGGGGACUGGUCUCCCUGUCCCUGGGGCUAGCCUGGAGCUGGGCCUGCCAGUGGUCACCUGUCUGAGCAUGGGUUAGGAGGCUGGGAGGGCUGCCCACCACUCCAGGGCCUGCCUCCAGCUGCCUCCAGUUGCCUCCAGCUGCCUCCAGUUGCCUCCACCCUCAGGCACUCCUGGCCCCAUGGUGCUUGAACAGGGCAGGGCAGGCUAGCUGGCUGAGGGCAGGGGGUUCCACGUCAGCGUUCUGAGGACUAAACUCUGGCCCUUUUUUCUUCUUUUGCCCAAAUUCCUACCUAAGAGGCCUGGGGAGUGUGCCCUACAGACCGUAGAGUCUCUCAAAUGGGUUUUAUUUAACCCCACAUAACACGGCUGCCUUUCCAGCCUGACUGUGGUGUAGCAUCACAUGACGGACAAGGAAGGAAAUGAGGUAUUUUAAAUGCAUAUACGUUUAUUUGCCAUAUCUUGAAGUAGCCGUGCAAAGUUGUCUCUUGUGGGAGAAACAUCUACAGUCUGUAGAGAAUCCCCUUCUUCUGAGGCCUUUUUCCUGACCCAGGAGAGAAUCAGCUAAGGGACUGACACCCUUUUAGAUCUGAUAAGAAACAUUUACAUUCCAUUCUCCCUGAAGCCUGCUAUCUGGAGGCUUUACCUGAAUGAGAAGAAUCUUGGUGUCGCAAUCCCUUAUCUUAACCCAGACAUUCCUUUCUAUGGAUUCCAAGUCUUUUUUUUUUUUUUUAGACAAGUCUUGCUCUGUUGCCCAGGCUGGAGGGCAGUGGCGCGAUCUUGGCUCACUGCAACCUCUGCCUCCUGGGUUCAAGCGAUUCUCCCAUCUCAGCCUCCUGAGUAGCUGGGAUUACAGGUGUGUGCCACCACACCCAGCUAAUUUUUGUAUUUUUGUAGAGAUUUCUACAAAAAUGUCAACACGGGGUUUCACCAUGUUAGCCAGGCUGGUCUUGAACUCCUGACCUCAGGUGAUCUGCCUGCCUUGGCCUCCCAAAGUGCUGGGAUCACAGGCGUGAGCCACUGAGCCCAGCUACAAAUGAUUUUUUUUUUUUUUUUUGAGACGGAGUCUUGCUUAGUCACCCAGGCUGGAGUGCAAUGGUGUGAUCUUGGCUCACUGCAACCUCCACCUCCUGGGUUCAAGUGAUUCUCCUACCUCAGGCUCCCAAGUAGCUGGGAUUACAGGCACCUGCCACCAUGCCUGGCUAAUUUUUGUACUUUUAGUAGAGAUGGGGUUUCACCAUGUUGGCCAGGCUGGUUUCGAACUCCUAACCUCAGGUGAUCUGCACGCCUUGGCCUCUCAAAGUGCUGGGAUUACAGGCGUGAGCCAUGGCGACCAGCCAUACAAGUGAAUUUUUAAAGGCAAAAAGGGGGCAGAGUGUGGCUGAUAUAACGUUGUUUGUCAGGAAUUCUGAUUGGUUCACAGAAGUGACAUUGCUGGGUGAUUGGCUGGACAUGGUUAAGCUCCAGGGUGUGGGUUUUCGUUUCCAGUGUGGCAUUAUCAGGUGAAUUCAUAGCUGCUGGCAAUGGCAACCACCGGAGAUGAGUCCAUAGCUCAAGGUAGUAGAAGGAAGCACCUGCUGUCUCAUGUCAGUAUCUCUCUGGGCCUGAUAAUAGAAAAAGACUCACAUUUCUCAGAUAAUAGUUCUUUUCUUUUCUCACUCCCAGCAGGGUGAGUGGCAGCCUGCUUCCCAGACACCAUUGGGCACACAGCCAAUUGGAGGGGGAGAGGACCCUGCAUUUGAAGCAGGAGCUGGCCUCUGUUGAUGCAGGGAAGAGUGUAUCACAGCCAUUGGGAACUUUCUUCACCCAUCAAAGCCUCAGGGCUGAAGCAUCCUGAACAAGAACUCAGGAGAGUGAAAGAAACAGUUACCUGUCGGCUGCAGCUGGUACCAGCUCCCCACCCCGUACAGAGACCGAAGCGUCCUCUCUCUCCCCAUCACCCAGCACCAGACUCUGCCCCGCGACCUCAGCCUGCACCUGCUUCCUGGCUCCAUCCAGCCUUCCAGCCUCACUAGAUCAUCAUGGGCCACUGGCCAACACACAGGGCAGUGCCGAGCCCAGGCCGUGGUCACACAUGGCUGGGUUAGUAGCUGAAAACAUUGUUUUUCACUGGCCUCACAGUAAUGGCACCUGCCCCCAUUUUCUGUGAUUGAAUUUUUGGAUCCUGCUACCAGGUUAUGAUAGAUUUUAUGGUAUGUCUCAAGAUAUUGAGAUAAAGGUAAUAAAACAGCUAUAAAGUCCUGGCUCAAGAAGUGUUACAAACCCAAGCAGGGUAAAUACAAGAAAACUGCACCCAGACACAACAUAGUAAAAUUGCUGAAAACCAAAGAUGAAUAGAACACUUAACAGUUGGAGGAAAAAAGCCACAUUACCUUCAUAAGGACACCAAUCACACUAACAUCUGACUUCGAAAUAGAAAUAUAAAAGCCAAACUACAAGGGAAUGUGAUCUUCAAAAUAUUGAAAGAAUUUAAUUGUUAAGUGAAAUAAUUAACUGCCAACCUAAAUUCUAUUCCUAGUGGAAAUACUCUCCAAGAAUAAAGGUGAAAUAAAUACAGACUCACACAAGAGAAAUCAAGAGCGUUCUUCCUCAGGAGACAUGAGCUGAUUGGUAUAGAAGAGGUGUUUGAAACGUCCUUAGAGGGAGGGCUAGAGACACAGGGAGGAGAAACCUUCAGAACACACCUUCCAUUGAGGGCCAAAAAAGUCAACUAUCGAUUCUUUGAAAGUGCCCCAAACUCGUAAAUCUCUGGUGAUGCUGACCAAAAAAACAAUGAAGGAAGGCACCCUGUGAUGGGGAAGGAAAAGGGGAGAUUGCUGGAGAUCUGUGGAUAUUAAAAAUAGGCACAUAUACACUAUGGAAUACUAUGCAGCCAUAAAAAAGGAUGAGUUCAUGUCCUUUGUAGUGACAUGGAUGAAGCUGAAAACCAUCAUUCUGAGCAAACUUUCGCAAGGACAGAAAACCAAACACUGCAUGUUCUCACUCAUAGGUGGGAAUUGAACAAUGAGAACACUUGGACACAGGGUGGGGAACAUCACACACCGGGGCCUGUCGGGGGGUGGGGGAGGGGGGAGGGAUAGCAUUAGGAGAUAUACCUAAUGUAAAUGAUGAGUUAAUGGGUGCAGAACACCAGCAUGGCACAUGGAUACAUAUGUAACUAACCUGCACAUUGUGCACAUGUACCCUAGAACUUAAAGUAUAAUGAUAAUAGAAAAAAAAUAGAGCACAAGGAACAUGCUAACAAAUUUGAAAGUUUUGAUGAGAUGGAAAAAUUCCUAGAAAAUUAUAACUUACCAAAACUGAAAGAAGAAAGAUAAAUGACCCCACAUUUGUUAAAUAAAUUGGAUCUGUCAUGAAAAUAUUUCACACAGUGGAACCUCUAGUCACAAAUGCUUCACCAGUGAAUUCUACUAAACAUUUAAGGAAUAAAUAGCACCCAUCUCACACAAACUCUUCUAGAGCCGAGGCAUAAUGGGAACAGCAACUCCACCUGUCAUGUUUCACCUCCAGGAAAACGUGAUACCCAAACUCAACAGAGAAAAAAUAAACUUACAGACCAGUCUCACUCAUGAACAUAAACAGAAAUCCUCAACAAGAUAUUAACAUAUAAGACCUGGCAGUUGGCCAGGCGUGGUGGCUCACGCCUGUAAUCCCAGCACUUUGGGAGGCCGAGGUGGGUGGAUCACGAGGUCAGGAGAUCGAGACCAUCCUGGCUAACAUGGUGAAACCCUGUUUCUACUAAAAAUAAAAAAAUUAGCCAGGCGUGGUGGCGGGCGCCUGUAGUCCCAGCUACUUGGGAGGCUGAGGCAGGAGAAUGGCGUGAACCCGGGAGGCGGAGCUUGCAGUGAGGCGAGAUCACGCCACUGCACUCCAGCCUGGGCGACAGAGCGAGACUCUGUGUCAAAAACAAAAAACAAAUAAACAAAAAACCCUGGAAGUAUGUAAUGAACAUAUUAAAUUGAAUCAUCUCUCUCUCUCUCCUCCUGCCUCUGUGUGUGUGCUUGUGUGUGUAUAUAUAUAUAUAUUUCUACAAACCAAUGAAAAAAUGACCGGCAGCCUAGGAGGCAAUAUGCGUAGAAUUGAACAAACACUUCACAAAAGAAGAUGUCCCGUGGCCAAUAAACAUGAAAUGGUGACCAACCUCAUUAACACCAGGGAAAUGCAAUGCAAAGCAGAAGAUACAUCAGCACAUUCAUCAAAAUGUAGAAAAUUGAGGAGACCAACCACACCGAGCAUUGGGGAGGUUGUGGGGCCAAGAGAGCUCUGUGCACAGCGGUGGGGAGGGCACACGUGGAAGGUCCUCCCAUUGCCUGCGAGAUGGCAGGGCUGGAAUGUCUGUGCUGGCUUCCUUCCUCGCUCGUGGCUCUGUGGCUUGGACAGCUGCAGGCUGGCCGGAGCCGCUCCACUGGAGUCGCAUUUCUGGGGCCUCAAUUCCUGCUGUCAGCUGGGUUCCCCGAUUUCUUUCCAUGUAGCCUCAGGCUCUCUCCCUCUGCACGUGGCUUCUCCACCUGGUGUCUUUAGAGGGGCAGCUGGGCUUCAUCCAUGGUCACCUCUGGCUUCCAAGAGGCAUAAGACAGAGCUGCCCAGUCCUCGUGAGACUCAGACCCAGAACUACAACAUAGGCCCUACCCAGAUCCAUGAGGUGUGGACUACAAGGGCGCAAAUACGGGAGGCAGGUUAGCACCUGCACCACCUGCACCAACAUCCCCCCCGUCGUGUGCCCAGACGAUGGAAGUGGUCACUGCCUUUGCCCCAUCGUGCUGCGGACGUGCACUCUCUGCCAUCAUUCUUUCUCGGAUGCCAG